rnacentral:lncRNA from 1 species
CGGGUUACACGUACACUUAAAAUUUUAUUUUCAGCUAAACUUUGAUUCCAACAUUCAACUCAUUCUAUAAAAAUAACAGGAAUUUAAUGUAUUUAGCUGCAGAUAUGUUUCUCGAUGAGACAAAUACUUGAGACCAAGUGAAAUGAACGUAUGCAACUUUAGAUCAUCGUACAACAUUCAACAAUGAGCAAAACUAAUAUCAUUUAGUAAUAUUAAAAUGGCCGUCACAUUUUAAAAACAGAAACAAUUCAAACAUGAAAACAAAACAAAUAGGGCGACAUAUUUCAGAACAAUGAACAAAAUAUUAAUAAGUAGGAGAACAAAACUUGUCAGUCACUAAGCUCUAAUCCUUUAAUUGUAGGCUGUUUAAUACAGAAUGCAACACAAUUGUGCACUUGCUUAAAGUUUUCAUUUUGUCCUUAACCUAGAACAGUUGUUAACCAGCACCGCAUAAAAAUGAAAAUAUAUAACAAACACGCACAAUGCAUGCGUAAUCCAUCACUAGCUAAGGGGUUAAAUUAAAAUGCACAUGAAUACGGAUUCAAUGAGGUCGAAAUAUUCACUUGCAAAACAUAAAUCAUUCCAGAUUUUAUAUACAGACUAUUUAACAUAAUACCAUACAAACAAUGAGAACGAUUAUGUAAUAAUUCAACACUAGAUACAUAUUAGUAAUAUGCAUACACUAAGAAGUCUAAUGCAAUUAUUUUGUAACAAUGGUUCUG